rnacentral:lncRNA from 1 species
AAAAAAAUCUUCCAAAAAAAAACACUCCAAAAAAAAAAAACUCUUGAAAUGGCUAGAUUGGUAGAAAAGGGGGUGCGGCUCGGCGAGUAACUCGUGAAUCGGAAUAUAUUCACUGCGACUCGAUCGAACUGAUGCGCAUGCUACCUCUCUAUCAAACGGUUGUGAAAAAAAAUGUCUUUGGGUGGAGAGCAUGAGAUAUACACAUUACGAAGAUGGAUGUACAAUCAUAGAAAUCCGACGACCGGUGAUGUGACGAAAGAGUUUACUGUUGGCUUGCGCGGUUUCAUGUACUGAUAUACUCUAUAUUUACCGCUUUAUCAUGGUUGUUAAGAUCUAUUUUAUUGUGUUUCAUUAGUAUUUUCAUUGUGUUUUGUUGCAUUUAGUGUCCAAAUGAGUCUUCUUCCAUUUUAGAAGUCCUAUAGUGUCUUUGUUUGUCUUUUGUUGUGUUUUGUUUGUCUUCUGAGCAAUUUCAGGUUAAAAUAAUGGACGACACACAUUUGGAUGCAAAGAAGAGAAUUGAUGAUUCAGAACCAGUCCGAAGUCCCUCAAAGAUCGACUCAGAUGGAAGUCUUUCAUUGCGAUUUAGCUUCAUAGCUCUUCAUACAAGUUAUAGGAAAUUGAGUUACCUUUCUAACGGAGGUAAUUUCAAGCGAAUCAGAGCUUCGAUGCAAGAAUUAUGGUGGUUUUAAUGGAGAUAUAUCACUCUGGCGCGGAAAAGAACAAAGGAGGAGCCACUGAACAUUUCAAUCGACCUGUUGGUCGAUUUAAUGGUCGAUUGGGACGAUAACAGGCCGCAGACGAGAAGCAAUCGAGGGAGCAAUCGACCGAUGCAUCUAUAGAAGCCUUUGCAAAUUUUUGGGUUUGACACGGUUUAUCUCGUAUCAACCCAGUUCGAUUCUAUUUUGUAUUUAAGCAAUUUUUAGACAUUUUGUAACCUAAGUUUUCUUCUCUAGAGUUGGAUUUAGAUCCAAACUCUCUUCUUGAUAUUUUGGAUUGAUCUUCAACAAUUCAUGCCACUUUAGUGAAGGAUUCUUCAUCUUUAUCUUGUAUCUUUAUGUUUAUGCAUUUUCUUUUUAUCUUUCACCAUGUUUAGUAGUUAGUCUUUUUGUUGGAUCAUGGGUUAUGCUAGAUUAGGAUAAUUUGAUGGUUAGAUGAUGAUGAUUUAGGUUGCUUAUUGUUAGAUCCUUCAUCUAGGUUGCUCUUAAUGCUAGUUUUGACUUGAUCACUCAAAAUCUAGACCUUAAGCAAUUCAUGCCCGGAAGGUGUUUGUGAAAAUGCUUGAACCAAACCUUUAUGAGCUUUACAUAUCUAGCCAACGGGAGUUGAUGAUUAGAGUGUUUAGUGAACCAAUUGAACUUGUUAUUAAUGCUCAAUGAUCAUUUGAUUGCGAACGGAAGUUGUUGAUGAUUAGAUGAUUAGUGAAGUGAUUAGUACCAUGGAAGUGGAUUAGUCAUAUUUUUGAGUUUCAUGUUCUAGGAUGGUGCUUAAUUCAACCUCUUGCAUCAUUGUUUGAUUGUUAGUCCAUUCUCAUGAUAGUUAAACCCAUGGUCCAAUGCUUUUCUUUAUUUUACUUCUUGCUUUCUUAUCUUUUCAUCAAAAUAAAAACAUAAAAUCAUUUCCUCUAGAUUAGUUUGAAUCUCGCAUCUUUAGUGUUGCAAUCUUUAUUUCUUGUGGUUCGACAUCUAAAAUACUUCCGCGAUAGAUCGUUGAUGCAUUUAGAUUAUUAAUUGAUAAAAACGCAUAGAUCAAUUUGGCGCCGUUGCCGGGGAAUAAUUGAUUGCCAUUAGAGUUAGGAUUUGAAUUGAGACUAGAGUCUUUAUUUCAUUUUGUUGCUAACGUUUUCUCUUUCUAGUGAUCUUGAUCUCUUAGGUACUUAAAUCUAGGUGGAAGACACAUGGAAAGAAAGGGAGAACAAGAGGAGUUCACACAUGAGGAAAACAUGGUGUAUCACACUAUUGAUCAAACACACUCUCGGUGGAAAAGUCAACCCUUGGAGGAUUCACAAGGUUAUGGUAAUUUGACUCUUCCUUAUGUUCAAAACUAUAUGUUGGUAAGUGAUAAUGGUUGUGAUGACUUUUUGUGUGAGUCAAAUGAAAAGUUUGAGGAUAGAAAUAAAGAGAUUAUGCUUUCUCUUGUUAAUGGAAAUGAAAUUGAGUACUUUUUCGAAAAAUUCUUCCAAAGCUAGAGUAGAUUUCAUUUUUCAUUUUGAAUCUCUUCUUCCUCUUGAACUACCAAUGAUCAAGAACACUUUGGUGGAUUAUGCUACUUUUGUAGUAGACUUUCUUGAGAGGUUGUUUAUGGUGUCAACAUGGGCAAAGAAAUGCCUUAUAGCAUACUCGUUUGCUUGCCCAUGUAGAAGGAGGACAAUUGGUCCUCUUUCCCAAACUUUUGACACUAAUGAUUAACGGGUCGCUACGUUUAUUUCCUCUUUGUAAAUAAAGUUUUCUUGUUUCUAUUUUUUCCUUCUUUUGAGUCUUUUUUUUAAGUCGUUGCAUUGCAUUUACAUUUGCAUUGGGGAAAAAUGAUUUAUUUUCCUUGUAAAGAAGCAUGUUAACUUUGAAUGCAAUGCCCUUGUUAAUUGUAUUAUGAUGCAUGAACCGCCUUGAAAAUUUGGAAAAUCCAUGCUUUGAUCUCUUGGCUUGAAGGUCUAUUUCUUGGUUGACGCAUGCUUUGAAUUGAUUCCAACUCUAUGAAUUUGGACUUAAUUUGAAUUUAAUCUUCUCGCUUAUGGAACUUAAAUGCAUUUUUAUGGUAGUCUAAAAGACUCAUUCGGGUUAUCUUAUUCCUUUCACCAAUCUUUUGUUAACCCGAAUGGCCAUUCUCAUUUUUAGAAUGGUUUCCCCACCCUUAACCUAAACCUUUUCUUUCAAACCCUUGAUUAAUUGUGAGUGAGGCCUAUUGUUUGAAAAUGCUAUAGAUUUUGAAAUCUUGAGAGUAUUGAGAACGACAAGGUUUUAGCUCUUGUUUUUAGCUAGCUUUUGGAACAUCUUUGGACUAGCUACUAGGUUGGGAAUGAAAGAUUUAAAUUGUUAGAUUGUAUAUUUGGGAUUGGGUUUGGGAAGAAGAAAAAAGAAAGAUUGAAAAGAACGGUUUGAUCAAUGAGUCCCUAGGGAAUAAAAUCAUAAAUAAAGAAGUUCUAAGUCUCUAAGUAAAAAAAAAGAGAGAUAAGUAUCAAGAUUAGUUCCCCAAAAGAAAAGAAGCUUGCAAAGUUAUAGCAUUGGGAACAAAGAAAAGCUUAGAAAAGAGCUAAGUGUCAAAAGUAUAAACCUUCUCUAGGUGACUAUCAAGAGGAGAUUGAUCAUGAGAUUUGUGGUUUAAAAAGACCGAAGUGUCUAAUGCUUGGAGUUGAAAAGAAGAGAAAAGAGUAUGCUAAAAAGGGUAGAAAUAAGAAUUUAUAUCUAAGGCGGGUAGAACAACAAGAGCUAAGCGUUGUAUACAUAAAUUGUUCUUGGUCUUAGAUGGAUUUCAUAAUUGUCUAGCAUUCCUUUUCUUGAGAGAAAGCCACCAAAGUAUGAAUCUCUUGAAACCACCUCCAAAACACAUUCACCAAAACCGAUUGAGAAUGAUUUACUUUCCAUUUGCGAGAACGCACUUGAAAAUCUUAAUGAAUGUUAAAGAGUUGGAUGAUAUGAAUGCUUGAAGAGGCUAAGAAUUAGACUCUAAAGUAAAAGAUUUGAGUAGCGAUGAGUAUGGAGAAGUUCGUUAGAGUAUAUGUGAUUCAUGCAUUAUCCUACUUUUAUCUAAGGACAUUGGAUUGAAAUGUUUAUGCGCAUUCUUUUGGAAAUGAGUACCCACCUUCAAACCUCUUCUCUUGGCCUUUCUUUUGAUUGUUUGCAUGAGGACAGCAAAAGGCAAGUCCGGGGGAGUUGAUAUACUCUAUAUUUACCGCUUUAUCAUGGUUGUUAAGAUCCAUUUUAUUGUGUUUCAUUAGUAUUUUCAUUGUGUUUUGUUGCAUUUAGUGUCCAAGUGAGUCUUCUUCCAUUUUAGAAGUCCUAUAGUGUCUUUGUUUGUCUUUUGUUGUGUUUUGUGUGUCUUUUGAGCAAUUUCAGGUUAAAAUAAUGGACGACACACAUUUGGAUGCAAAGAAGAGAAUUGAUGAUUCAGAACCAGUCCGAAGUCCCUCAAAGAUCGACUCAGAUGGAAGUCUUUCAUUGCGAUUUAGCUUCAGAGCUCUUCAUACAAGUUAUAGGAAAUUGAGUUACCUUUCUAACGGAGGUGAUUUCAAGCGAAUCAGAGCUUCGAUGCAAGAAUUAUGGUGGUUUUAAUGGAGAUAUAUCACUCUAGCGCGGAAAAGAACAAAGGAGGAGCCACUGAACAUUUCAAUCGACCUGUUGGUCGAUUUAAUGGUCGAUUGGGACGAUAACAGGCCGCAGACGAGAAGCAAUCGAGGGAGCAAUCGACCGAUGCAUCUAUAGAAGCCUUUGCAAAUUUUUGGGUUUGACCCGGUUUAUCUCGUGUCAACCCAGUUCGAUUCUAUUUUGUAUUUAAGCAAUUUUUAGACAUUUUGUAACCUAAGUUUUCUUCUCUAGAGUUGGAUUUAGAUCCAAACUCUCUUCUUGAUAUUUUGGAUUGAUCUUCAACAAUUCAUGCCACUUUAGUGAAGGAUUCUUCAUCUUUA